GUAGGUGAACCUGCGGAAGGAUCAUUAUCGAGUUUGAAAGGAGUUGAUGCUGGCCUUCCGAGGCAUGUGCUCGCUCCUGUCAGAUCCAACUCAACACCUGUGCACAUCAGAGGGCGCGAGUGGUCUGUCCCUUGCCAACGGGCCUCGAUUCCUCCGUGGGUCGAGGCUUGGAGGGGUGGAUCCUGGCGACCUCCUUCACAUCACAAACUCUUGAACGUAUCCAGAACGUGUAGCAGCCCUCGUGUGGGGCAGUCUUAAUUACAACUUUCAACAACGGAUCUCUUGGCUCUC
rnacentral:misc_RNA from 1 species